GUGUCAGCCGCCGCGGUAAUACAGAGGGGGCAAGCGUUAUUCGGAAUUAUUGGGCGUAAAGGGCGCGUAGGCGGCCCUUCAAGUGGUAGGUGAAAUCCCUCGGCUCAACCGAGGAGCUGCCCGCCAAACUGAAGAGCUUGAGUCCGGGAGAGGUGAGUGGAAUUCCCAGUGUAGCGGUGAAAUGCGUAGAUAUUGGGAGGAACACCAGUGGCGAAGGCGGCUCACUGGACCGGAACUGACGCUGAGGCGCGAAAGCGUGGGGAGCAAACGGGAUUAGAUACCCUCGUAGUCC
rnacentral:rRNA from 1 species